CAGUAGCCGCGGUAAUACGAAGGGUGCAAGCGUUGUCCGGAAUUAUUGGGCGUAAAGGGCUCGCAGGCGGUUUCUUAAGUCUGAUGUGAAAGCCCCCGGCUCAACCGGGGAGGGUCAUUGGAAACUGGGAAACUUGAGUGCAGAAGAGGAGAGUGGAAUUCCACGUGUAGCGGUGAAAUGCGUAGAGAUGUGGAGGAACACCAGUGGCGAAGGCGACUCUCUGGUCUGUAACUGACGCUGAGGAGCGAAAGCGUGGGGAGCGAACAGGAUUAGAUACCCCCGUAGUCCCUGUCUCUUAUAC
rnacentral:rRNA from 1 species